rnacentral:rRNA from 1 species
GACGAACGCUGGCGGCGUGCUUAACACAUGCAAGUCGAACGGAAAGGCCCUGCUUGCAGGGUACGCGAGUGGCGAACGGGUGAGUAACACGUGGGUGAUCUGCCCUCCACUUCGGGAUAAGCCUGGGAGACUGGGUCUAAUACCGGAGAGAAGCCAUCUUGAGGGUGAUGGUUGGAAAGUAUUUUCGGUGUAGGAGGAGCUCGCGGCCUAUCAGCUUGUUGGUGGGGGAAUGGCCUACCAAGGCGGCGACGGGUAGCCGGCCUGAGAGGGUGGACGGCCACAUUGGGACUGAGAUACGGCCCAGACUCCUACGGGAGGCAGCAGUGGGGAAUAUUGCACAAUGGGCGCAAGCCUGAUGCAGCGACGCCGCGUGGGGGAUGACGGCCUUCGGGUUGUAAACUCCUUUCGCUAGGGACGAAGCUUUUUGUGACGGUACCUAGAUAAGAAGCACCGGCUAACUACGUG